UGACACAGGAAGUAGAGGAUGUGGCCAUC
rnacentral:piRNA from 1 species